AACCGCAAAAGAAGCAGAGGGGGCUUAGUGGUGGGGUGACUGCGUACCUUUUGUAUAAUGGGUCAGCGACUUAUAUUCUGUAGCAAGGUUAACCGCAUAGGGGAGCCGGAGGGAAACCGAGUCUUAAUUGGGCGUUAAGUUGCAGGGUAUAGACCCGAAACCCGGUGAUCUAGCCAUGGGCAGGUUGAAGGUUGGGUAACACUAACUGGAGGACCGAACCGACUAAUGUUGAAAAAUUAGCGGAUGACCUGUGGCUGGGGGUGAAAGGCCAAUCAAACCGGGAGAUAGCUGGUUCUCCCCGAAAGCUAUUUAGGUAGCGCCUCGUGAAUUCAUCUCCGGGGGUAGAGCACUGUUUCGGCCAGGGGGCCAUCCCGGCUUACCAAUCCGAUGCAAACUGCGAAUACCGGAGAAUGUUAUCACGGGAGACACACGGCGGGUGCUAACGUCCGUCGUGAAGAGGGAAACAACCCAGACCGCCAGCUAAGGUCCCAAAGUCAUGGUUAAGUGGGAAACGAUGUGGGAAGGCCCAGACAGCCAGGAUGUUGGCUUAGAAGCAGCCAUCAUUUAAAGAAAGCGUAAUAGCUCACUGGUCGAGUCGGCCUGCGCGGAAGAUGUAACGGGGCUAAACCAUGCACCGAAGCUGCGGCAGCGACACUGAUGUGUUGUUGGGUAGGGGAGCGUUCUGUAAGCCGUUGAAGGUGUGUCGUGAGGCAUGCUGGAGGUAUCAGAAGUGCGAAUGCUGACAUAAGUAACGAUAAAGCGGGUGAAAAGCCCGCUCGCCGGAAGACCAAGGGUUCCUGUCCAACGUUAAUCGGGGCAGGGUGAGUCGACCCCUAAGGCGAGGCCGAAAGGCGUAGUCGAUGGGAAACGGGUUAAUAUUCCCGUACUUGGUGUUACUGCGAAGGGGGGACGGAGAAGGCUAUGUUGGCCGGGCGACGGUUGUCCCGGUUUAAGCGUGUAGGUGUGUGUUCCAGGUAAAUCCGGUUCACUUUAACACUGAGGCGUGACGACGAGGCACUACGGUGCUGAAGCAACAAAUGCCCUGCUUCCAGGAAAAGCCUCUAAGCCUCAGGUAACAUCAAAUCGUACCCCAAACCGACACAGGUGGUCAGGUAGAGAAUACCAAGGCGCUUGAGAGAACUCGGGUGAAGGAACUAGGCAAAAUGGUGCCGUAACUUCGGGAGAAGGCACGCUGACACGUAGGUGAAGUGGUUUACCCAUGGAGCUGAAGUCAGUCGAAGAUACCAGCUGGCUGCAACUGUUUAUUAAAAACACAGCACUGUGCAAACACGAAAGUGGACGUAUACGGUGUGACGCCUGCCCGGUGCCGGAAGGUUAAUUGAUGGGGUCAGCGCAAGCGAAGCUCCUGAUCGAAGCCCCGGUAAACGGCGGCCGUAACUAUAACGGUCCUAAGGUAGCGAAAUUCCUUGUCGGGUAAGUUCCGACCUGCACGAAUGGCGUAAUGAUGGCCAGGCUGUCUCCACCCGGGACUCAGUGAAAUUGAACUCGCUGUGAAGAUGCAGUGUACCCGCGGCAAGACGGAAAGACCCCGUGAACCUUUACUAUAGCUUGACACUGAACACUGGUCCUUGAUGUGCAGGAUAGGUGGGAGGCUUUGAAGUGUGGACGCCAGUCUGCAUGGAGCCAUCCUUGAAAUACCACCCUUUAAUGGCUGGUGUUCUAACGUGGACCCGUAAUCCGGGUUGCGGACAGUGUCUGGUGGGUAGUUUGACUGGGGCGGUCUCCUCCUAAAGAGUAACGGAGGAGCACGAAGGUUGGCUAAUCCUGGUCGGACAUCAGGAGGUUAGUGCAAUGGCAUAAGCCAGCUUGACUGCGAGCGUGACGGCGCGAGCAGGUGCGAAAGCAGGUCAUAGUGAUCCGGUGGUUCUGAAUGGAAGGGCCAUCGCUCAACGGAUAAAAGGUACUCCGGGGAUAACAGGCUGAUACCGCCCAAGAGUUCAUAUCGACGGCGGUGUUUGGCACCUCGAUGUCGGCUCAUCACAUCCUGGGGCUGAAGUAGGUCCCAAGGGUAUGGCUGUUCGCCAUUUAAAGUGGUACGCGAGCUGGGUUUAGAACGUCGUGAGACAGUUCGGUCCCUAUCUGCCGUGGGCGCUGGAAGAUUGAGGGGGGCUGCUCCUAGUACGAGAGGACCGGAGUGGACGCAUCACUGGUGUUCGGGUUGUCAUGCCAAUGGCACUGCCCGGUAGCUACAUGCGGAAGAGAUAAGUGCUGAAAGCAUCUAAGCACGAAACUUGCCCCGAGAUGAAUCUUCCCUGAGCCUUUAAGGCUCCUGAAGGAACGUUGAAGACGACGACGUUGAUAGGCCGGGUGUGUAAGCGCAGCGAUGCGUUGAGCUAACCGGUACUAAUGAACCGUGAGGCUUAACCUUACAACGCCGAAG
rnacentral:rRNA from 1 species